rnacentral:lncRNA from 1 species
UUGAAGAGACGUCGGAACCUAUGGUGUCGUUUCUCCUAAUGCAACUAAAUCGUACUUAUGCCCUGUUUAAGGUACGCUUGUGAGUUAUCCAUACUGAUGCAGAGACUUGUUGGUCAAAUUCGACCCAUAGAACUACCAAUAAAAGGACCUCAAAACCCAGCUUCAUCUAUACCCAAAAAAACCCAAUAUAGCACCUCAAAAUUCAGCCCAAAGAGCAGCGAAAACAGCUGCAAAAUUGCUAAAGAAAACAGUUAAACUGAUCCAAAUUAUCCCUAAAUCAGCUACAAAGUACAGCCAUCAUAGAGCAGCAAAAUCAGUUGCAAAGCUGCUGAAAAGUCAGUUCAAAAACUUCAGCAAAGCACCUCAUUUUCAGCUCCAAAACGCUGAAAAAAUGCAACAGUUUUCUCCCCAAAAUCGACCUCAAAUCAGCUCCAAAAACGAGUUGAAAUUCCAGUUUAAAACCAGCCACCAUCUCCCAUGAAAACCUGCUGCAAAAUCAGCCCCAGAAAUACGGCAAAAUCGCACCAAAAGCUAGCAAAACAAAGCACCCUUUUCACCCCAAGACGCAGCUGAAAAAGCAGUCCAAAAAUGACCCCAAACUAGCCCCAAAACAGUUACUGCUGAAAAUCGACCAUGAAAACAACCACAAAACCAGUCCAAUACAAUCCCAAAAUAGCUUCAAAAUGGCCUUUAGUCACUUCAAAAUUCGAGUUUCGGCGAGGUUCGUCGAAUUUGACAAACUCCGUUCGGUGGUCUGGUCUGCUUUCAAGUUUAGAUUAAUGGCUCUGCUAACGUUCGAGUUUUGGUAGACUUCCUUUCUUUAUGUACCUGGUGGAGGUUCAUCAGUAUAUUGAAAAUUUAAAGGUUCCAUUCUAACUCUAUCCAUUUUAUUUUAUAUUUUGAUUUUCAGAUCUUGCUUUGUUUAUAUUUGAAUAAUGCUUGGAGAGGUUUUCUGUCUACUCUAUAGCUCUAGAUGAGAGUUUUGUUUUUAUUUGUUUAAUGGAGAUUAGCUCAUGACAUACGGUGAAUAUGUUUGCAAAUUUUUGUGGGGUAGAUGUAUAUUUUUAUUUUUCUUAUGAAUUUGUAGUUAUAUGUAGUAAGAAGGGGCUGUUUGAUUUGUUGAGUUUGAAUAAAAUACUUAAUCUGAAAUAUGUUGAAUUCAG